GCGUCUCUCGCCUCGUAAUUCGCUGGUCUUUAGCUUGCGUGACUCUCUUCCUCUGCUUGACCUUUCUGAGAGGCGGAGGCGGGGGGGGGCAAGGUGGGAACGGCGACGGAGCUGCCAGCGAGCACCGCCUCCAAUUUCUUGGGCAGCCGUCGGCUUGCCACCACCACCACCACCCCCUCGCUCGUUCUCUGUCGAUAUAACGCCUAUGCGUUUCGUCUUCGGUUUGCUCCUCCCUGUCCUCACGCCGUCCGCGGUGCCGCGCAUCACCGCACGCGGCGGCCGGCAUGAAGGAUGGUCAACUUGGGCAAUACAUAAAGAGACACUCAACCGCGCUCGCAUGAGCAGGAACAAAUCCUGGUGCGGUUCGGGGGAGAGGAGGAGAGGUGAGAGGAGAGGGGGAGGGGGGCACCGCCUCCCCCCAUCCCCUUCUCUUUCCUUCGCCUCUGCCUCUUUGCUACCGGCCCUCUUUUUCGUGGCCAUGUCCCCAUACGACGCUUCUCGUCGGCGUGUUCGCUGCCGCUCCACAGCCCUUCCCCCCCCCUCCCUCUCAUUGCUCCGCGAUUCGAACGCCCACGGUAGACAUGCACGCGGGCACAUCCGAAAGGUGUGACGAUGGAUCGCAAGGCUGCUCAGCUGUGUGCAUGAGUGGCUCUGUGUCCGCGUGUUUCUGUGAACCUUGUCCAGCUGCUCGAAGACAUCGUUGUGUCUGGUUUCUGUGGCCAUAGCGACGGCGCUCCUUUCUCUUUUCCGUCGCGUUGUUGCCCCUUCUUCUUUCCCCGUGAUGACGGGUGAAGGUGAAGGGAGGAGGCACACAUGCCUCCGUGCGCGGUAUCUCAGGGCCCAGUGACCCCCACUCUGUCUGGGGAGGCCAACCAACCAACCAACCAACUCUAUCCUCUGUCGAAUGCCGAGCCACUUCUGCUGGUAGCAGGCGCGAGCACCCACGACAUGGGGAAGUCAGAACGACACAUCAAGGGAAAAGAAAAGCGAAAAAGGCGGCAGCAUUGCCGAACUGCUACUCGCUCCCCCUCCUUCUGUGCGUGUGCGUGUGUGCUUGCUAGUGUUAUCCUCGGUAUUCUGAAACAAGCGAUGCGUGCACGGUUGAAAAAGAAGUGGGCAGGGGCGGGGCGGCAGGUUGGCCAGAGCCUAGAGGGUGCACGCAAGCACUCGGAAGAGAAAGCGGCUGUAGAGGGCGGAAAAGGACAUCUCUGUCACACCUGUCGCCUCCCCCCACCCCCUUCUUUUCUAUGUUGGUGACGCUCCAGCACCCCCUCCCCUCCCGUGGCCCUCUCAGCCACGUCUUCGCAUCCGCCCAUAAGCGCACAUUUCGAUGGAUUCAUUGGGCAUUGCUCAUGCUUUCAGU
rnacentral:misc_RNA from 1 species